rnacentral:tRNA from 1 species
AAGAUUUUAAGUUAAACAUAAACUAAUAGCCUUCAAAGCCAUAAAUAUAAGUAUAAUUAUUCUUUUAAAUCUUA